GGCAGGUAAAUGGAAAAGUAUUUUCUUUUGCGGAUAAGAUCUGCAUUGUGUCUCAGAGGAGCGUGAAUCCUUAGGUGAAUAUAAUCCCCUGUACCAAUGACUCCAGGAAAUCCACCCAGUAUGCUGAAACCAUCAUUCAUGGAGUUUAAUGCUGCUUGAGAAGAAAACUUUGUGAACUGUGGAGACAUUGUGUAUAUGACCCUCGAAAUAUCACAGCAUCAAGAGUAUACGAGUGAUCCAACCAAAAGAAAAGUAGCCGCCAGAGAAAUGGAACCUCCAUGUGACUGCCAUUGGAAAUGCAUGACAUAGAUAGAAGCAACUUCCAUGAUAUUCCAUGACUUCUGGGAUGUAGGGAAUUUUGAUGCACAAAACAACUAUUGUACAUCUUUUCAUGUGUCUCAACGGCACCUCCAAAAUGCUCAUACCUGAGAAAAAGGAAAAAAGAGCAGCCUUUUCGAAAGAUAAUUGGUACGUACUCUAUUAAGAUUCAAGGCGAAGUCAUCAGUGUCUGUAAGAAGGCAUAUCUCUCUGUUCGUGGACUACACAGAUCAAGAGGAAGAGUGCAAACAUCUUAUAGCAACUAGGUUGUGGGAAAGAGUUUUUAAAGAAAGAUCAAAUGGGGUACCAUAAAAAUCACCAGAGAUAUCCAGCUGAAGUGACAGAAGAUGAUCUCGAGCAUGUAUGAAGCUUACCCACUUACUUAAGUCACUACAGCAAGCACAAGAAUCCCAGAAAGGUUUAUUUUGACUGUGAGAUGACAAUCAGUUCUCUAUAAUGGGAUCAUUAUCUACCCUAUUGUGAGGAAAAGAAAAUUUCCAUUGUUACAGAAGAUAAGUACAGAUAGUUUUUCUGCUCAGAAUACAACAUAGGCUCCAAGAUGCUACUUUUUGACACUUGUAAAGUAUGUGAUGAGCUUGAUACUGAGAUUAAAUCUUGCAACCUACCCAAUGAGGAAUAAAAAGCUGAUGACCUGCGGAAGAAAAGAGAAAUACAUCUCCAGAAAGCAGAGACAUUGCAGGCUACUAUGACAGCAGAUAUCGCCAGAGUAUCCAGUAUCUUGUUCAUCUCAAUUGACUUACAGCAAAAGAAGCAUGGCUAUUGAAUACAGACAUCUUGCAUUAUGACCUUAACAUCAAAAUAUCGUAGACCUAUUACGAUACAGCAUAAGAAACUAUCUGACCUCAUGGACCUGCUUCCCUAUACAUCUGUGGUGCAUCAUGGAUAUAAUUUAUCCCUGACACACUACCAAGUCACAGAGCAAGUUAACGAACCAGAAGUAAUUGAUGACAGUGUCUUAGAUUAUACUGAGAGUGACAAGAAUUGUGAUCAGUGAAGCCAAAUGUUGACACUCAAACUUUGGUGGUAUACAAUGAUAAGCCAAAAAAUUAUAUGUAUUCCCUAUACUUAAUAUUGUUUUUCCAUUAAGUGCAGUAAUUAAAAAAAAUGUCCUGUUUCAUAUGAGAGAAAUACCUUAAUGUAUGUAGUAUCUCAUAAUGCAAUAAACAUGUCUCUUAUGUUCAA